rnacentral:rRNA from 1 species
AUUGAACGCUGGCGGCAGGCCUAACACAUGCAAGUCGAGCGGAGCGGCGGACGGGGGAGGAAUGCCUAGGAAUCGGCCUGGUCGUGGGGGAUAACGUCCGGAAACGGGCGCUAAUACCGCAUACUAUCAGAUGAGGCUAGGUGGGAUUAGCUAGUGGGUGGGGUAAGGGCCUACCAAGGCGACGAUCCGUAACUGGUCUGAGAGGAUGAGCAGUCACACUGGAACUGAGACACGGUCCAGACUCCUACGGGAGGCAGCAGUGGGGAAUAUUGGACAAUGGGCGAAAGCCUGAUCCAGCCAUGCCGCGUGUGUGAAGAAGGUCUUCGGAUUGUAAAGCACUUUAAGUUGGGAGGCGUUACCAACAGAAUAAGCACCGGCUAACUUCGUGCCAGCAGCCGCGGUAAUAC